AGCGAACGCUGGCGGCAUGCUUAACACAUGCAAGUUGCACGGGCAGCAAUGUCAGUGGCGGACGGGUGAGUAACGCGUAGGUAUCUAUCCUUGGGUGGGGACGAACUGUGGGAAACGUACAGCUAAUAACCGCAUGAUGACCGAGGUCUAAAGGACGCAAGUCGCCUGGGGCGGGAGCCUGCGUACGAUUAGCUUGUUGGUGGGGUAAGG
rnacentral:rRNA from 1 species